rnacentral:ncRNA from 1 species
AGUAAGGAAUGAAAAAACACGAUCCGGUUGGUAGUCCGGAUGCAUCAAUCAUCAUAUUGAUGUCAGUAACCUUCCCUUCCUCGGGUUGUCCAUCAUUCCAAGAUUUAUU